GGUAAGGUAGCUCAGUGGUAGAGUGCUUGCCUUGCAUGCAUGAGGCCCUGGGUUCAAUUCCUCAGAACCA
rfam:Dipodomys ordii contig_12836, whole genome shotgun sequence.